AUUCGAUCGUGACAGAUCAUGAUAAUCCGAUUAUCACAUUGGGCCAGGGUAGCAGUGGUCUCAGACUUGAAUGCUGUGUCUUGGGACCAUUAUAUCUUACCCUCAAGCAAUGCUGAGUGAUGGCAGUUCUCCAUCUCAAUGACAAUGCAACACAAGUCACCACUGAAGCCAAGUCCACAGGUUGCAACUCAGGAAACUUAUGAGAAGCUCUUCAAGAAACCCUUGAUUAGAAUUCCUCACAGUAGUCCAGCUUGGAGGACACAAAGGGCAAAUUCAG
rnacentral:lncRNA from 1 species